rnacentral:rRNA from 1 species
GUUAGGAAUAUUCGGCAAUGGGCGAAAGCCUGACCGAGCAAUGCCGCGUGUGUGAUGAAGGUCCUUUGGAUUGUAAAACACUUUUAUUUGGGAAGAACUGUAAGUAUAGGAAAUGAUACUUACUUGACGGUACCUUUUGAAUAAGCCCCGGCUAACUACGUGCCAGCAGCCGCGGUAAUACGUAGGGGGCGAGCGUUAUCCGGAUUUAUUGGGCGUAAAGCGUGUGUAGGCGGUUUAUUAAGUCUGAGAUGAAAGACUGUGGCUUAACCACAGUUUGUUUCGGAAACUGGUAGACUAGAGUGCAGUAGAGGCAAAUGGAAUUCAUAGUGUAGCGGUGGAAUGCGUAGAUAUUAUGAGGAACAUCAGUGGCGAAGGCGAUUUGCUGGGCUGUUACUGACGCUGAGACACGAAAGCGUGGGGAGCAAAUAGGAUUAGAAACCCUAGUAGUCC